GACGAACGCUGGCGGCGUGCUUAACACAUGCAAGUCGAACGCUGAAGCUCAGCUUUUGUUGGGUGGAUGAGUGGCGAACGGGUGAGUAACACGUGAGUAACCUGCCCCCUUCUUUGGGGUAACGCCCGGAAACGGGUGCUAAUACUGGAUAUUCACUGGUCUUCGCAUGGGGGUUGGUGGAAAGGGUUUUUCUGGUGGGGGAUGGGCUCGCGGCCUAUCAGCUUGUUGGUGGGGUGAUGGCCUACCAAGGCUUUGACGGGUAGCCGGCCUGAGAGGGUGACCGGUCACAUUGGGACUGAGAUACGGCCCAGACUCCUACGGGAGGCAGCAGUGGGGAAGAUUGCACAAUGGGCGCAAGCCUGAUGCAGCGACGCCGCGUGAGGGAUGGAGGCCUUCGGGUUGUGAACCUCUUUCGCUCAUGGUCAGGCCGCAACAAUGGUUGUGGUGAGGGUAGUGGGUAAAGAAGCGCCGGCUAACUACGUG
rnacentral:rRNA from 1 species